CACGUAGGGUGCGGGCGUUGUCCGGAAUUAUUGGGCGUAAAGAGCUCGUAGGCGGUGUGUCGCGUCGGCCGUGAAAACCUGCAGCUUAACUGUGGGCUUGCGGUCGAUACGGGCAUCACUGGAGUUCGGCAGGGGAGACUGGAAUUCCUGGUGUAGCGGUGAAAUGCGCAGAUAUCAGGAGGAACACCGGUGGCGAAGGCGGGUCUCCGGGCCGAUACUGACGCUGAGGAGCGAAAGCGUGGGGAGCGAACAGG
rnacentral:rRNA from 1 species